UACGGAGGGUGCAAGCGUUAUCCGGAUUUACUGGGUUUAAAGGGUGCGUAGGUGGGUUGGUAAGUCAGUGGUGAAAUCCCCGAGCUUAACUUGGGAACUGCCAUUGAUACUAUCAGUCUUGAAUAUUGUGGAGGUUAGCGGAAUAUGUCAUGUAGCGGUGAAAUGCUUAGAUAUGACAUAGAACACCAAUUGCGAAGGCAGCUGGCUACGCAUAUAUUGACACUGAGGCACGAAAGCGUGGGGAUCAAACAGG
rnacentral:rRNA from 1 species